AUUGAACGCUGGCGGCAGGCUUAACACAUGCAAGUCGAACGAGUGGCGGACGGGUGAGUAAUGCUUGGGAAUCUAGCUUAUGGAGGGGGAUCACUACGGGAAACUGUAGCUAAUACCGCGUACCAUAGGAUGAGCCCAAGUGGGAUUAGGUAGUUGGUGCGGUAAAGGCUCACCAAGCGCACGAUCUCUAGCUGGUCUGAGAGGAGGACCAGCCACACUGGGACUGAGCAACGGCCCAGACUCCUCGGGGAGGCAGCAGUGGGGAAUAUUGCGCAAUGGGGGCAACCUGACGCAGCCAUGCCGCGUGAAUGAAGAAGGCCUUCGGGUUGUAAAGUUCUGUCGGUAGCGAGGCGUUAACUACAGAAGAAGCACCGGCUAACUCCGUGCCAGCAGCCGCGGUAAUUC
rnacentral:rRNA from 1 species